AGGGCAAGUCUGGUGCCAGCAGCCGCGGUAAUUCCAGCUCCAAUAGCGUAUAUUAAAGUUGUUGCAGUUAAAAAGCUCGUAGUUGAAUUUCGGGGUUAGUAGGUUGGUCAUGCCUCAGGUAUGUACUGAUCUCACUGAUUCCUCCUUCCUGAUGAACCGUAAUGCCAUUAAUUUGGUGUUGCGGGGAAACUGGACUGUUACUUUGAAAAAAUUAGAGUGUUUAAAGCAGGCUAACGCUUGAAUACAUUAGCAUGGAAUAAUGAAAUAGGACGUUCGAUCCUAUUUUGCUGGUUUCUAGGAUUGACGUAAUGAUUAAUAGGGAUAGUUGGGGGCAUUAGUAUUCAAUUGUCAGAGGUGAAAUUCUUGGAUUUAUUGAAGACUAACUACUGCGAAAGCAUUUGCCAAGGAUGUUUUCAUUAAUCAAGAACGAAAGUUAGGGGAUCGAAGACGAUCAGAUACCGUCGUAGUCUUAACCAUAAACUAUGCCGACUAGGGAUCGGAUGAUGUUAAUUUUUUAAUGACUCAUUCGGCGCCUUACGGGAA
rnacentral:rRNA from 1 species